rnacentral:lncRNA from 1 species
UUUAUCAUGGAGUAUUUAUCUUUGUGUUACUAAAAUACUUCGAAAAUACAUUUGAAUAGAAAUCUCAGUAUGGAAAUGUGACCAUAUGAAAACAGAAAUACGAGUCAGCAAAUAAUAGUGGAGGGUACAAUGGAGCUGUUGAUGAGUGGCACGUAAUCACAUCUCAUGAAAGUGCGUAACGAAUCCUCUUUAAUUAGCUUGUGGGACCUAUUUACGACAUUGUUGAUCUCGACCUUUUGUGCUUUGUGUUCGUUUGUCUUUUUGUUAAAGUAAAAAUGUGUUGUGUCUUAGUGUGGAGUGUGGACCACUCUUUCAUUGGCACCUCAUCUUCAUAUUCGUUUUAAUAUCUCUGUUAUUACUACUCCUGUCAGUAUUUUAACGUGUUAUAGACUCAUAGUCGAUUCCUAAAUUAAUUUUCUAUAUAUUGUUGUUGAUUUUCUUACAAAAACGAAUCCUUCCAAUCUAAACACCAUUAUUAUAAACAUUGUUUAGGGUUUAUGUCAAUUCAGCUUACACA